GAACAUAAGAGUAAUUUGGCCUUAUGACUGAGGCAGAAUUUCAACAUUAACUUUACUUUGUUACCUAUCCUCAUAUCCCGGUUUCCUUAGUGCCCAAAAGUCGACCGAACUCAACUUCAAAUAUACUAAAUGACUGAACAUCUACAGUACUCAGGAACAGACAAUUCAAAAGAGUCACAACACUCUGAGUGAAUAGAUUUCUCUUCAUCUUAGCAGAGACCGGUGACCUGGAGAAAUUAAUUCAGCUGGGGAGUUUAAAUUGAAAGAAGUGAAUAAAAUGUGAUCACUGGAUGAGGUUUCCUGAAAACUAUUGAUGUCCUCAAGAUACCAAUCUUACAGAGUUUUUCUGAAAAUAGCCUGAAGUGGUAACGAAGACAGCUGAUGGAUUUAAAACCAGAAGCACGAGGCAGACAAAGGUAUUUAUGGAAUCAGAAGACAGCAAUAUCAAAGGUGGACUACAAAAGAGUAGUUUUGAUGGAGUAGUUCACCAUGUUAAAGGUGAGAAUCGGAGGAAGAAAAGUUACAGUUACAAAGCAUGUUGUUUGUGAAUUUGAUCAGCAAGAAGGACUCAAAUGUACAAAGCUGAUUGCUGUCUCCAGAACAUCUAAUCUUUGGAAAUUCCCUCUACUGUACAUUGUGUCCACCUGGAUCUCUUCCAGCUUACAGAGCCGCACUGACUCCAUACCAAUUUACUACUAGAUAAUUACAGUCCUAGAAAAGUUGUAAAUUAAAAGAAAAUUCUGAGUCUUUCGUGGUGUACCUCUAUCUCUGGACCAGAAGGUCUGGCUUCAUGUCCCAUCUGUCCCGGGACAUGAGUCAUGUCUGAACAGGUAGGUUAGAACUAGUUUUCUAGGGCAGACAGUCAUGUCAUGACAAUAUCACUGGAUUAGAAAUCUGGGCCUGGGUUUAAGUCUCACUAGAAUAGCUGUUGGUAUUUAAGUUCAACAAAAGAAGGCUGUUGUGGUAUCAUGCUAGUAUUCCUUUUUUGGGCCUACAGUCCGAGUUCAAGCCACACCUAUCCUGAAGAUGUGUCAUAACAUGUCUAAAAAGGCCGUUUUAAAACAGAAUUGGCAAGAUGCUAAAAGACUGGGAAGAGAACUGUGGUUUCUCAAAAUUCCAGAAAUAAGAAGAAAGAUUACAAUUGGAGAUAUAAAACGAAAUGCAGAAAGAGAAAUGUAUGUAAUGUAGUUGACUUUUAUCACUUAUUACUGUUGAUUAAUUGUUCUAUUUCUAACUGUAUGUGAAAUCUUGAUGAAGCUGAAAACUAUAUUAUCCAGUAUUGUUUGUGAAUCUUCACAAUGUACUAUUGUAAGCAGAAACAAAUUUUCAUUCCUGGUGUUUGAGUACUGUAAUGGGAUGUUGUUGGGAUUAAUGGGAUUGCAUUUUUAUCAUGUUUCAAAGUCUUUAAAUGUAUUAUAUAUAUAGUUUGAUUUAUUCUAUUUAUUUUUCAUUACUUUUGCAAAAUAAACUUCACUUUUAUGGUUAAACCUGAAACUGCAGCAUUAUGUGUUCCCCUUUCAGUGAAAGACGACCUCAUCAAAACUAAAAUCAAAAUAUAACAUGAUCUAUUAAGCCAGAUUUCAGUCUGACAUCUGCCUUGUCCUGUUGUUAUGAAAAUUUGGGUGUACUAUACCUUUGUGAGAGUAAAAGCUAGCAGUGAA